UACAGAGGUCCCAAGCGUUGUUCGGAUUCACUGGGCGUAAAGGGUGCGUAGGUGGCUGGGUAAGUCUGAUGUGAAAUCUCCGAGCUUAACUCGGAAACUGCAUCGGAUACUAUUCGGCUGGAGGGUUGGAGGGGGGACUGGAAUUCUCGGUGUAGCAGUGAAAUGCGUAGAUAUCGAGAGGAACACCAGUGGCGAAGGCGAGUCCCUGGACAACUCCUGACACUGAGGCACGAAAGCUAGGGGAGCAAACAGG
rnacentral:rRNA from 1 species